rnacentral:tRNA from 1 species
GUUCUUAUAGUGUAAAUUGAAACAUAUUACAUUUUCGUUGUAAAGUAGAGAAAAUUCUCUAAGAAUA